rnacentral:rRNA from 1 species
UGGGCGCUGGAGAACUGAGGGGGGCUGCUCCUAGUACGAGAGGACCGGAGUGGACGCAUCACUGGUGUUCGGGUUGUCAUGCCAAUGGCACUGCCCGGUAGCUAAAUGCGGAAGAGAUAAGUGCUGAAAGCAUCUAAGCACGAAACUUGCCCCGAGAUGAGUUCUCCCUGACUCUUUAAGGGUCCUGAAGGAACGUUGAAGACGACGACGUUGAUAGGCCGGGUGUGUAAGCGCAGCGAUGCGUUGAGCUAACCGGUACUAAUGAACCGUGAGGCUUAACCUU